rnacentral:lncRNA from 1 species
UUAACUUUAGCAAUUAAUUUACCUCAAACAAGGUAAUUAAUAUGAUAAUUAUCCCCUGUGUAUACCGCAAGUAAGUAACUUACUAUAAUUAUGUUAAGAAAUUAGAAUGUUUGUGACCGACUGUUUAAUAAGAUGCUCUUUUCACAAGGUGUGAUAUUGUGGCAUAUUUACCCUGGAGCUAGCAUAUAUAUGGAGCUGACUUUGUUCCUGGAGGUGAGCAUAUAUUGUUGAUCUUCUCAUUUCAAUUGCAGCAGUUCCUUGAUUCACAAUUUAUAUAGUGUGGUAUAGUGGUUGUAUUUGGAGGUUUAUCCCUGUGAAAUAAUCACCGCAAGGUGAGCACUUUCUGCAGCUAAUGUGUUAUGCAUAAGCUCAAUGUGUUUGGUCAACUAACUACUGCUCAAUUAAAAUUGGUGACCUUCCAUUGAUGAUAGGUCUCGAAAUUAUGCAUUGAGUAAUUGGACCUGACCUAGAGUACUUGGUUAAUUUAGUGAUCUUUUAACAAAAUUUUAACUGAAUUAUUUUGGGCAAUGGAGUACUGAAUUUUAACUGAGUAACUUGCACUUGCAUAUGCACUAGACCACUUGUAAAUUCUUUGGCUCCUCUUUAAUCUGGUGUAAUUACUUAACUGACCGUAAUAGCCCUGACACUUGUAAGUAACCAUAUCAUUCAAACAUCCAAUUAAAUCUAUUCUACUCCAUUUCCUGAGAUGAAAUUGUGAUGAUGGGAGUGACAUUAAACAACUUGAACAUCUAAUUGUGCAUGUACUCCAUUCUUAUAUACUGAUCCAUCUUGUCUUUGCCCCAUGUUAACAUUCAAAUUGUUAAUUGCAUUCAAAGUGUUAAUUGCAGGAGCAGACACAGAGGAGGAAUCUGCUACCUCAAAGUAGUUGAUCGACGCCGGGAGGGUGGGUACGUGAUGUCGGAGGCUGCCGGGAGGGUGGUGACGAGUUACCGAAGAGAUGAGUUCU